rnacentral:rRNA from 1 species
AUGCAGAAGAUUCUAGUUCCCCGGCCUCGCACAAUAUUAGUCCAAAGUUUACAAUUUUUCAUUCUUUUGGUAAUGGCCAAGUCACUGUUCGUGUCGUUGCGAGCAUUGAAGACACACUCAAUCAAGACAAAUGUGACAAACAUGAAGCAUCUUCGCUAUCUAGAUUGUUCUUAUUCUGAUAUAUCUUCACUACCUGAAGCCACUAUGAUGUUGUAUAGCUUGCAAACAUUGAAGCUCAAUUGUUGUAUGAAGCUUAAGAAAUUACCAGAAGGUAUGAGAUAUAUGAGCAGUCUUCGGCACAUCUUCCUCCAUGGGUGUUUUCGUUUGGAGCGCAUGCCACAAGGUAUUGGUCAACUGAAUUCUCUACAGACAUUGACAAAUUACGUGAUUGAUAGUGAUGCAGGCCGUGGAAUUGAGCAACUGAAAGAUUUUAAUCUUGGUGGUGGUCUUUCUUUGACAAAUCUGAGAGAAGUGCACAGUGCAGAAAAUGCUAAACAAGGCAAUAUAUCUGCCAAGAAUAAUUUGAAACGAUUGUCACUCAAUUGGUCCGGACCUUAUAGCACAAGCGAUGGAGAUGAAGUACAUACUGAUACAGAAGGAAUAUUAGAGGCCCUUCGUCCUCACAAAAGACUUGAAGUCUUAAUGUUAUCUGAUUAUACGGGUGCUAAAUUCUCAUCAUGGAUGCAUGACUCUACAAUGUUAGAACAACUAAGUGAACUUUCUCUGGGUAGCAAGAAUUGCAAGGAUCUUCCAGCAUUAUGGCAGCUGCCCUCCCUCCGGUACUUGUAUUUGCGAGGUUUUCAUAGCUUGACAAGUAUGCGCGUUGGUAAAUGA